rnacentral:rRNA from 1 species
UACGGAGGGAGCUAGCGUUGUUCGGAAUUACUGGGCGUAAAGCGCGCGUAGGCGGCUUUGUAAGUUAGAGGUGAAAGCCCGGAGCUCAACUCCGGAACUGCCUUUAAGACUGCAUCGCUUGAAUCCGGGAGAGGUGAGUGGAAUUCCGAGUGUAGAGGUGAAAUUCGUAGAUAUUCGCAAGAACACCAGUGGCGAAGGCGGCUCACUGGCCCGAUACUGACGCUGAGGCACGAAAGCGUGGGGAGCAAACAGG